rnacentral:tRNA from 1 species
UGGUCGGGAUAGCUCAGCUGGUAGAGCAGAGGACUGAAAUCCUCGUG